ACAUGGCUACAACAUAGCAUUAAUGCACUGGAUCCCAUUAGAACUCUAUAGUUAAGCGCACUCAGGCUAGAGUAGUACUUGGGAUGGGUGACCGCCCAGGAAGUCCUAGUAUUUUACAUGCC
rnacentral:rRNA from 1 species